rnacentral:sRNA from 1 species
AUGUGUAUUCGGGAGAGAUCUUGUCUAUGCAGACAAUCUCCAUUGAGUUGGACAAGGAAGAAGCAGGAGAAGAAUAUUUGUCAAACCCGCAAGAUUCCACCAGUUCUUCGCUCUGCAUGCCAGCCCUGCAUGCAGGAUGUAUGGCCUUUUCUUCAACAUUCCAUAAUGGUUCCUGCAUAAGUUCCGGAUCAAUGAUGAGAUGGCUUGCUCGCUUCUCUUGAAACCUUGUUUCCCGCGUUCAAUUCCUGUUUAUGUACUACUCAAAGCCAGUGAAGUUACUAGCUGCAUGCAUACCUGCAUACAAAGAGGGGGAGAGACAAUGAAAGGACAACCAGAAUCAGGAGGAUGAAUCAAACGAGGCACACACAUGCUAUAUAUAUGUAACACGAUGCCCAGUCUGGCACUCAGCGCUGCUCACAGUCCCCCCAAUCUGACCUCCCAAAUGAUUACACCUAGCCCAGCACUAUUGGGACGAACUAUUCAAAAACCUGCUCCGUUAGUGCUCGUUGCAAAAGGGACAGCAAUAUAAGCUGAACCGGGUUGAGUUGUUGAGCUGCAUAUCUGGGAGAUCCACCGCAGGCGCUGGGUAACGGCUCUCUGCACAACCAGUUCCAUUCUGAACCAACGACGGUGUCAAUAUUGAUAGUGAUGCGCCACAACAAUAGGAACCGUGACAAACGGAAUUCCAAGAAGGCUGGCUGCUCGCUGCUGGCUUGCACGCUGGGCCGUCGCAUUCCGAACCAGCUGUGAGAUGUUGUCUUGUCCUACACGGGAAGAGGGGGAAAUAUUGAAAGGCAGUGGAACGCUUCUGAGAAAGAGGCAGGGAGAUGGAUGGAUACAGGCAGGCUGCUUCCUCGCCAUCUUGCCUCCCUCCAUUUCCCAGUCUUUUUUUUGUUCUUGUGUGUUUCCCUCCAGCAUUCUGAUUGACUACUGCUAAGCCUUUGUGUCUUCGGUGUCGUAUUCUCAUCCCUCUGUAUAUGAAUGAGAGAUUCGCCGGCCGGCUCAAGGCCACUCCUCGCUCCCGUCCCCUUUCUCCCAUUCCUUCGACGUUUGAUUCGCAAUUCCCAUGCAGCCAAGAAAACAACUAGCGGACCCUGUCUACUUCGAUGUUUUCUCCGAGUCCUAUAUACGGCGUAGUGAGCCUUUUUAUCCCUGUUGGUAUUCAGAUUCGAUCAUCAUAGUUGAACGAAGGAACUGUAUCAAUGCACAAGAAUCGACAUCGCCACGAGCCUCAGACUUGGGUAUGAGAUAUAUUAAGACUCGAUUGCAUCGUCCAGUUGUUGUAUAUAUCUAUUUAUUCCCCUGCUGCCUGCCUGAUUUGGGUUCAAGAUACAAUAAAUAUACAACAAAAAGGGAACGAAUAUAUCACUAUCUGAUAGGAUGAUUGAUCAAAACACCCUACAAUCAGGUGUCGAAUUUCCGCUGCAAUACAUAUUAACAAAAGUGGGAAGCUUUUACAAUCAAUAUAACCAAAAUAUAUAACAUGAUGACAAGAUCAGAGAAAAAAUGAGGGGAUAAAAAGAUCCAUAUCCAUCGGGCGCCACCGUUUGACAAAAACGAGCAGAUUGAUGGAGAGUCAAGAGGCAAAUAAUGAAAAUGGAACACCAGUGAUAGUUUCUGCCGAAGAGGUGGACCACAUAAAUAAAACAAGAAAUGAAAGAUGGAAAGCUCACGACAAUACAACAAAGAAAUACAGCAAAGGAAAAAGGAAUGAAGAAACUGGGGUUGUUAGUUUUUUCUCCGAAAGUUAUUUGUACAGUGGUAUCGUAUCAAUUGAUGGCUCUUCUUCCCCUAUGUCCAUCUCCUGCUUACCUUUCUCCGCAUCACUCACAGUUCCCCCAACCUUUUCUUUUGACGAGGAAACCAAAUCCACACAAACAAAUCUUCAAAACACAGGCGGUACAAAUAGAAAUAUGCCGGCCUGAUUCAUAUCAACGAUAAGAACCGGAAUACUUCGCCACGUAUUUCCGGUUUCAGUGUUUAAACAACCGAUCUAGAACCCUCGAAAGGGAUCCUCAUUUCGAAACAGAACAUCCCCAUCCUCAGACCCAUAAAACUCAGUGUCAGGGCUAUUCGGGGGCCAGUAAUGCGCAUUCCGUCCUUUUCGACUACCUCCAGCACCGCCGUGUCUCGAUCUAUGACUACGCCCACCAAUUCGUUGACGGGGAUAUUCACUCCUGUCCACAAACGCCUCCAUCCGCACCGUACCAACUGCCUCGAAAAAAUUGCUCAUGCCAACACUAGAUGGGCCACUGGCUUCGGACGUACGGUGGCUAAAGCUGCUUUGGCCGCUCUGUACACCUGAUGGCCCGAUGAUUGAGGGAGAGUAGAUAUCGGACGACCCCGCAGUUGCGGUGCUGUGUGUGGACGGCGCGGUGGUGUGGUUGGAGAAACUUCUGAAUACACUUGGCGGUAUGCGUGGUGCGGUGUUACUUCUCUUGCGUGAAUGGGAGGAGAAUCUUGGGACAUUUGGGGGAUCAGCGAUGUCGUUGAUGGCUUCGGUUCCAUUGGCUUCAUCGAAAGGUAGCUCAGGGACGGCAGAUGGAUGCGAUACAAAUGAGCGGUUGGAGCUGGACGGUGUUGGUUUAGCCUUUCCCUUCGCGAUGCGAAUUGAGUCGCGGAUUGGGUUGCGCCUUAGCAUACUACCUGGGGGCGGGCGAUACUCUUCGUGCGGAACGGGGGGUAGGGAAGCAAGAUCGUUAGCGCCCAUCGAAGAGUGGCUUAAGAACGACAGCGCGGUUAACCAGACAAAAUGGCGUUCCAAUGUCAUGGCUGUGAACUUCAGAGCUCGCUGUGGGGUGAGGAUCAAAAUCGACCGGUUAAAAUGGCUACCAGGGCCGGAGCCCUUGGGCAGCGGAUUGUCAUCCUUGACAUCAAGGACCGAUUGAAUCAUUACUUUGGGAAAAAUGCCAGUCAGCCAAAGAAAAUGCUUCCUUUUUUCACAAAGGUUAUUUUUAUUCAGGGAAUCUUGCUCCUUGGACAGGACAAUACUCACGCUUUCGACCACUCUUACCCAGCAAGGCAGACCCGCUGGUGGGCUGUUUACUGCUCCACAUAACUGCGCGCUCAUAUGGUGCCAGCCAUACCCAUCUCUUAUGUCUAACGCCGGUCCCAGUGAUGUUUGCAGAAACUUCUUCGGUGGUUUUGCCUAGCUCCCAUCCGUCUUUAUUACUUUCCGUCAUACCAAAUGACUUUCGUCUACGAACAUACUUCCACAUCCAUUCGCCCACCAUGGUCUGUGCGAUCGCAUCAACGACACUAGUCUGCUGUACGCUUGUGUUGGUAUUGACUGACUCGUUUCUCCGGUGAGACCUGGCAGGGGGCGGGACUUGUCGAUUUGAAUGCAGUUUACCAGAUCGCUUUCGCCGGGGGGCUGUUAUUUCGUCAACAGGCAUGGGUGGGAGGUGUGGGCUUUCGGGGCAGGUUGAUGAUGUCGACAUUGUUGGUGGAGAAUGGCUUUGCUGCCGAUCGGGACGAUGCAUGCCAGUCACCACAGCGGCCGAGCGAACUUUGCGAAGUGGAGGUUCUCUUAAUAGAAAGCCCCGCUCCGGGAAAUUUCCGUUGCUGUACGGCGUCGGACUCUGAGCGCCCUCGCUCGCGCUGACGGGGAUUUUGCGCGAGCUCAAUCUCACCGGAACGGGGAAAGGAGGUUUGGCUGCGGUGCUAGUCGAGGCAGCGCUGCUGCCAAUGCUAGGUGCACUGGGGCU